GACUCCGUGGCAUGUGGUAUGCAUCCAUUGCCUCUGACCGGUCACCAACCGCUUCAGCGGAAGAGCCCGGUUCGAAUCCGGGCGGGGUCU